GACCUCAAAUCAGGUAAGAACACCCGCUGAACUUAAGCAUAUCAAUAAGCGGAGGAAAAGAAAAUAACAAUGAUUCCCCUAGUAACUGCGAGUGAAGAGGGACAAGCUCAAAUUUUAAAUCUGUUCGGUUCUACCUGACAGAGUUGUAAUUUAAAGAAACGUUUUCUGUGUCUUGAGUUAAUCAAAAUCCUUUGGAAUGAGGUAUCAUGGAGGGUGACAAUCCCGUUCAUGGUUAAUUCUAAGAUGCUUUAUGAUGCGUUUUCGAAGAGUUGAGUUGUUUGGGAUUGCAGCUCAAAAUGGGAGGUAAAUUUCUCCUAAGGCUAAAUAUUGGCGAGAGACCGAUAGCGAACAAGUACCGUGAGGGAAAGAUGAAAAGAACUUUGAAAAGAGAGUUAAACAGUACGUGAAAUUGUUGAAAGGGAAACGAUUGAAGUCAGUCGUACCAGCGGGAAAUCAACCUUUCGAGUGGGGUUUUGGAGUUUUGAAGUGUGUCAAAACCUUUGAGAUUUCAAAAUUUUCGCUCUUUUGGUGUACUUUCUCGUAGGUAGGUUAACAUCGAUUUUGAUCAUCAUAAAAGGAUUGGAGGAAUGUAGCUUCGAUCUCGUAUUGAAGUGUUAUAGCCUUUGAUAAAUGUGAUGAUUAGGAUCGAGGAUUGCAACGAAUACCCUUUUGGGCUAUCCGCCUGAUCUCUGAUACGUGGCCUUGGUAUUGAAAGCGUGCUUAUGAUAUUAAGGUAUUACGGUCAAAAGGUUAGAACGGAUUACAUUCGUUAAGGAUGUUGACGUAAUGGCUUUAAACGACCCGUCUUGAAACACGGACCAAGGAGUCUAACAUAUAUGCGAGUGUUU
rnacentral:rRNA from 1 species